AUAUCAGUCAUGCAUAGCAUAUCAAUAAGCGGAGGAAAAGAAACUAACAAGGAUUCCCUUAGUAACAGCGAGUGAAGCGGGAAGAGCUCAAAUUUGAAAUCUUCAGGGUUUUACCUUGACGAAUUGUAGUUUAAAGAAGUGUUUUCUGUUGAAGUUUUGGUAAAAGUUCUUUGGAAUAGGACAUCAUAGAGGGUGAGAAUCCCGUAUUUGACCAUUACUUUCAGCUUUGUGAUACACUUUCAAAGAGUCGGAUUGUUUGGGAAUGCAGUCCAAAAUGGGUGGUAAAUUUCAUCUAAAGCUAAAUAUUGGCGAGAGACCGAUAGCGAACAAGUACCGUGAGGGAAAGAUGAAAAGAACUUUGAAAAGAGAGUUAAACAGUACGUGAAAUUGUCAAAAGGGGAAGCGUUUGACACCAGUGUUGUUUUCUCGAAAAUCAAUUAAAAAGAGUUGGAUUUUGUGUUGUAUUGACUUUAUCAGCUUUCUUCACUCUUUUCCAGCUUUUUUUAAUGCACUUUUCGUUUAACAAGUCAACAUCAGUUUCUCUUGUUGUAAAAAGGUCAUUGGAAGGUGGCUUUCUCUUCGGAGAAAGUGUUUAUAGCCUUUGACUCAUGCAAUCGGAGAGACUGAGGUCUGCAGCGUAGAUCCUUCGGGGUUAGAUACAUUUGUGCUAAGUUAUAGCUUUUCAUAGACAACUUGUUGACUAUGUUUAGUCUUGUAGCCUACUCGCUUAUGCUAUUUUACCUACGCUUAGGAUGUUGAACUCUAUCACACACA
rnacentral:rRNA from 1 species